UUCUCUCUCCGGAAGUCGCCGAACGCCGCCACACCGUUGUCGGAACUCCGAUCCAAGCCAAAAUUUCCAGAUUUUCUUCUCUUCAUCCCUCUUUCCAUUUCUCCAACCAAAUCAUGAAAUUUAGCCAUUUAAUCCUCCAAAAACCCUAGAACCCGAAGCCAAAUUGGGGCUUUUCGUCAUUUCUUCAUCCCAAGUUCAAAUCAAGAGGCUAGGCUAGGGGUUUGGCAAGGAUUUGUGGUGAAGAAGGCCAAGGAGGAGGAUUAGGC